GCUGUUUCUAUUAAGAGUCUUUGAAAUUUCUUCUUUAGUUUGACUUUUUGGAGGUUCUUGGGACGCAAAUGGAAGAGAAGCUCCCUCCGAGCAUGGACGAGUGCAAAUCUGAAGUUGCAUGGUUGCCAGUUUACUUCGAAGAGACUUCUCUGAUACUACUUUAUAUAUUGAAAGUGUCCCGACGCCUAAAGAGUUGACCUAGUAGUAUAGCGCUGAGGUGUACGCGGUUGGUCACCGGGUUAUGG
rnacentral:misc_RNA from 1 species